CGCCAGACUCCUACGGGAGGCAGCAGUGGGGGAUAUUGGACAAUGGGGGGAACCCUGAUCCAGCGACGCCGCGUGAGUGAAGAAGUAUCUCGGUAUGUAAAGCUCUAUCAGCAGGGAAGAAGAAAUGACGGUACCUGAGUAAGAAGCCCCGGCUAACUUCGUGCCAGCAGCCGCGGUAAUACGAAGGGGGCAAGCGUUGUUCGGAAUUACUGGGCGUAAAGGGAGUGUAGGCGGUUUAGUAAGAUAGUGGUGAAAUCCCAGGGCUUAACUUUGGAAUUGCCAUUAUAACUAUUAGACUAGAAUUACAGAGAGGAUAGUGGAAUACCCAGUGUAGAGGUGAAAUUCGUAGAUAUUGGGUAGAACACCAGUGGCGAAGGCGACUAUCUGGCUGUACAUUGACGCUGAGGCUCGAAAGCAUGGGGAUCAAACAGGAUUAGAUACCCGAGUA
rnacentral:rRNA from 1 species